CAACUAUUGAAUAGGCUAAGGACGCAUGGAAUUGGAGGUCAUAAAAAAGAAAAGAAGAGAAAAGGGACAAAAACUAGAAAAGACAAGGUAAAGGAAAAACAGUACAAUAUCACUUGAUGAAACAAUGAAGAUAAAAAGUGAAGUUUGAAUUUUUGUCCUGUUAAUGCUUAAUUCACUUUUUUUAAAAUUAUGAGUCUGAAAUAAAAUCUUUUUUUCUUCCUUACUUUUCAAAAUCAACGACUGUAUAUGCUAUCUUUAAUCCGAGAAACCCUACUCCUUCUUCUUCAUCAGAUUUGAGUGCUUGGUUUGCAUGUGCCAAUGCAUCAGUGCACUUGCCUACCAAGUGUUUGGCCUUUAAGGACUCUCUUUCCCAAUCUGUCUUGUAUACCACCGUCAAGAUUGAGACUACACAAGCAAUUUGAGCCGCCAGAAGUCCAUAACAUAGACCCACGAACCCUAGUUUCCAAACAAAGCCUAAGACUAUGGCCACUGGGGCGCCCACCAAGUAAAAUGAGUAAAAGUUUAUCCCUGCCCCAAUUCCUGGCCUAGCACUUCCCCUUAAAAUCCCACAACUUGUGGUUUGUGGACAAUUUGCUAGCUCACAUAAUCCAAUUAUCGGCAGUACAAUCAUACUUAGCUCGAGAACUUCUUCAUCCUCUGUAAAAACUCUCCCCCAUGCUUCUCUUCCUACAGUCGUCAAUACCAACCCAAAUAAUGAGCUUAAUAGCGCUAGUCCUACAGCAACUGCCGUCGCCAAACGUGCCUUUCCUGGCCUGCCUGCUCCCAGCUCGUUGCCUACUCGGGUUGACACUGAUGCACUCAGUGCUGUAGGCAAUGUGUACAUAAGAGAUGUGGUUUGGAUUACUAUAGCCGACGUUGCCAGGGCAACACGAGGUUUUGAUAAGUAUCCUGAUAGAAUUGUCAUGAACUCAUACCACCACCACUCUAAACAAACGGCCACACAACUUGGUAUAGCCAGUCGAAGUAGAAUUCCCCAUUCCCUUCCCAGUGAAGAAGGUGGCUGUGAUGGUUGCGGUGGUGGUGAAAGUUGUGUGUACAAAGGCUCCUCAGGGACACGAGUGAAAUACAUGUAACAUAGUAGGAAUAAGAGGGUGUUAAAAUUUGAGAUAAAAGUGGAAAUUGCAAUUCCAGGUACCCCAUGACGAAGAGUGAAGGCUAGGAAUACGGUGGUAGGGAGGUGAAAAAAAAUGGAGACAAAAGUGCACCACAUUAACGGCCAUGUAGUCCCUUUACUACGUAAAUAUAUGCGUAGAGGAUGCAGGAGGCUAUUAGCAAUAAGAUCUGGGACUGAAAAACGGCAAUACAAACUUGCAAUUCGGGUUAUAUCAGGAUCUUGAUGGAGGGCAAGCAUGAGGGGUUCAAGGUUCACCCAUAGCAAGCCAACAGGUAAGGAAGCUAGGAGUAACAUCACAACUGUUCUUUGUAGAGUUACAGAUGCUACUGACAGGUUCCUUGAACCAAAAGCUUGGCUGCAAAGUGGCUCCAUCCCCAUGGCCAAGCCAGAUAGGACUGAGUAGCCUGUGAUGUUGGUGAAACCGAUAGCUAAGGCACCUCCGGCGAGCUCCAGACUUCCUAGCCUUCCCAAGCACACAACUAAGAUCAUGUUUUUGAGAUAACCCACCAAGCUCAUGGCUGCUAUUGGGAAGCCUAUAUCUGUCAUUUUCUUUAGUUCAUCCACCACCUCUGGCAUGGUCGGGUACUUUUGGGAGCUCUCUGUUGUUAGCAUCUUUAUAUUCCUUUUGCUAUAAUUAAUUCUUGAUUUCUUUCCUUUUGCUCUCCUGCAGGCUUUGAGAGUUAGCAACUUAGCAGAUAUUUAUAUGCAGAGGUUUAAUGGUGGGAUCAGCGUUAGCUAGUUUGCUAGAGGGAGAGAAAUAGGUAGAGUCUAGAGAGAGCAAAUAAAAGUAAAGCAAGAGGGAAGAGUGAGGAGAUUUUUAUAGGUGGCGGAGGAUUUUAGUUAGU
rnacentral:misc_RNA from 1 species